UUCAGGUGAGCACGUGGCAGAGGCGUAGGGAGGCAAGCAGGUGAGUGACAAAAGAAUUGGCAAUGGUUUACCAGCAGCAGGUGACCGAGGUCCAGGGAAGCGGGGAUGACUGAGGCAAGAACCCCACUCCAGGAGCCGACUAUGAAGACAGGAAAAAACAGGUGGCCGGCCAGAGAGGAGCAACCAGUCUCCACCCAGAGGAGGAGGGCUGCUGGAUAACUACAGACACUCCACAUCUGGGAGAAGAGCAGAAUGGAGAUGGAGAAAAAUGCUGCAGCCCGCUGAUAGCAGACCUUCAGUCAGAGAGGAUGGAGCUGUGAUGUUUCUAUCAGCAGACAAGCGAAUGAACGAACUUCCAGCUGAGCCUCUGAAGCCACGUCAGCUGCCUCCCUCCUCUUCCUCCUGACCCUAUCCUCUGUCAGCCCUUUCUUUUGUCUCACAUUAUCCCCCCGUGCCACUCUGACUCUUUUCUUCU